GAUAGUUCAGUUGGUUUAGAACAUGGUGCUGAAAAAGUUGAGGUUGCAGGUUCAACUCCAGCUACA